CAGGGGGAACUUCGAGAGGUAUUAUUGCUGCCCCGACGGUACGUGGGAACCGUUCUUCAGCUGGCCCACACCCACCUGGGAAUGGAGAAGACCCGGGAACGGAUCGCCGCCCGGUUCCAUUGGCCCGGGAUGAGGAGAGCCGUGGAAGAUUACUGUCGCAGUCAAAUGACUGCCCCAAAGGCACACUUCUGAAACCCACUGGUCCCCCUACCAAUCAUCAGGGUGCCCUUUGAACGCAUCGCCAUGGACAUAGUGGGACCCCUGGUAAAAACAGCACGAGAACACCGGUACAUCCUGGUAAUAGUGGACUAUGCCACCCGGUAUCCCAAGGCCAUUCCCGGGCGGCGGUAUCCAAGGGAAUCGCCUGGGAGCUGUUCCACCUCUUUAGCCAGAUCUGGACCUCCGUCUUCCACCCGCAGACGGAUGGGCUCGUCGAGCGGUUCUAUAAAACGCUCAAACAAAUGGGGAGCCCAGCCCCGAGAGUUCCAGGUGGGAAACAGGGUGUUGGUCUUAAUCCCCACGGCCGAAAGUAAGUUCCUGGCAACAUGGCACAGGCCAUACGAUGUGAUCGAGAAGCUGGGACCUGUCAAUUACCGCGUAUGGCAACCGAGAGACGGAAACCCAACAGAUUUACCACAUGAACCUGUUGAAGAAUUUUUGUACUGGCCCCCCGUGGGAAUCGAACCCACAACCCUGGCGUUGCACACACCAUGCUGGCGUUGCAAACACCAUGCUCUACCAACUGAGCCACAGUGAGAGGACAGCCUUGGCCGUGUUAUGGUCGGGACCCAGGACGCCAACGGUACCAGUGGUGGUCCCGAGCAAUGAGGACCUCGACCCAGCCCAGAAGCAAGAGCUCAGGGAGCUCGAUGAUCAGAACACGGCGGUGUUCUCCGAGAAGCCGGGCCGCACCACCCUCAUUGAACACAUCCGUACCCGGCCCAGCGAAACGGUACGAAAGAGGCCAUAUCAGAUUCCGGAGGCCAUGAAACAGGAAGUGAAGGCUAUGCUGAGGAUGGGGGUCAUUGAAGUCUCACAGUGCGUGGUGCAGCCCCAUCGUGUUGGUGCCCA
rnacentral:tRNA from 1 species